rnacentral:tRNA from 1 species
GCGAGAGUCCCAUAGUCUGGUCAAUUGGGCAGGACUUAAGAUCCUGUGGCUUAGUGCCUACGAAGGUUCGAAUCCUUCCUCUCGCA